rnacentral:rRNA from 1 species
UACGAAGGGUGCAAGCGUUAAUCGGAAUUACUGGGCGUAAAGGGUGCGUAGGCGGUUGUUUAAGUCUGUCGUGAAAUCCCCGGGCUCAACCUGGGAAUGGCGAUGGAUACUGGGCAGCUAGAGUGUGUCAGAGGAUGGUGGAAUUCCCGGUGUAGCGGUGAAAUGCGUAGAGAUCGGGAGGAACAUCAGUGGCGAAGGCGGCCAUCUGGGCCGAUACUGACGCUGAGGAGCGAAAGCGUGGGGAGCAAACAGG